AAUAGAUACCCUGGUAGUCCACGCCGUAAACGAUGAGUGCUAGGUGUUGGGGGGGUCCACCCCUCGGUGCCGAAGUUAACACAUUAAGCACUCCGCCUGGGGAGUACGGUCGCAAGACUGAAACUCAAAGGAAUUGACGGGGACCCGCACAAGCAGUGGAGUAUGUGGUUUAAUUCGAAGCAACGCGAAGAACCUUACCAGGUCUUGACAUCCCUCUGACCGUCCUAGAGAUAGGGCUUCCCUUCGGGGCAGAGGAGACAGGUGGUGCAUGGUUGUCGUCAGCUCGUGUCGUGAGAUGUUGGGUUAAGUCCCGCAACGAGCGCAACCCUUGAAUUUAGUUGCCAGCACGUAAAGGUGGGCACUCUAGAUUGACUGCCGGUGACAAACCGGAGGAAGGCGGGGAUGACGUCAAAUCAUCAUGCCCCUUAUGACCUGGGCUACACACGUACUACAAUGGCCGGUACAACGGGCUGCGAAGGAGCGAUCCGGAGCCAAUCCUAUAAAGCCGGUCCCAGUUCGGAUUGGAGGCUGCAACUCGCCUCC
rnacentral:rRNA from 1 species